GGUAAGAUGGCUGAAGGUCUAAGCGGCGGAUUGUAGCUCCGUAAAGAGAGG
rnacentral:tRNA from 1 species